AAUCCUGGCUCAGAUUGAACGCUGGCGGAACGCUUUACACAUGCAAGUCGAACGGUAACGUGGGGAGGAGCUUGCUCCACCCCGACGACGAGUGGCGAACGGGUGAGUAAUACAUCGGAACGUGUCCGCUCGUGGGGGACAACCAGCCGAAAGGUUGGCUAAUACCGCAUGAGUUCUACGGAAGAAAGAGGGACCGGCCAGGACGUCUC
rnacentral:rRNA from 1 species